GGGGCUGUGGCGCAGCGGGAGCGCGUCUCCUUGGCGUGGAGAAGGUCGAGGGUUCGAAUCCCUCCAGCUCCA
rnacentral:tRNA from 1 species